rnacentral:lncRNA from 1 species
CGUCUUGGUGGGGGGAAUGUGCAGAUUGUUGUGUCGGAGAGUGGUUGGCCGUCGGCAGGCGGGAAUGCAGCGACAGUAGAGAACGCUGGAACUUACUAUAGGAACUUGAUUAGGCAUGUCAGAGGAACAACGGGGACACCGGCGAAGCCUGGAAGGUCUAUAGAGACGUAUUUGUUUGCAAUGUUCGAUGAAAACAGGAAACCUGGUGAAGAGUCGGAAAAACAUUUUGGGAUUUUCUCCCCUGGUCAACAACCUAAAUAUCAAUUGAGCUUCAAUUAAGGAAAAGUAAAAAACGCCAUUUCUGAAGCUAUGAAGAAUAUUCCAUACAUAAAAUAAAGUGGUUUUCCACUG